GGCUGGUAUGAACGGUUGGACGAGGUAUAAGCUGUUUCAUAUAAAUUUAUAGUAGAAUUUUAUAUUUUAGUCAAAAAGCUAAAAUGUUAUUAAAAGACGAGAAGACCCUAUAAAUCUUUAUAUUUUUUAGUAUUUAAAUUUUUUGGAUUUGUUUUAUUUUUAUAUUAUAAAAUAUUUUGUUGGGGUGAUGUUAAAAUUUAAUGAACUUUUAAUUGUUUAAAAUCAUUAAUUUAUGAGUUAUUGAUCCAUUAGUAGUGAUUAUAAGAUUAAGUUACUUUAGGGAUAACAGAGUAAUUUUUUUGGAGACGUUCAUAUCGAUAAAAAAGUUUGAGACCUCGAUGUUGGAU
rnacentral:rRNA from 1 species